UACGAGCGCCCCAAGCGUUAUCCGGAAUCAUUGGGCGUAAAGGGUGUGUAGGCGGUUGUGUUAGUCUUUUGUUAAAGCUCUCGGCUUAACCGGGAAGAUGCAAAAGAAACGGCACAACUAGAGGAUGCGAGAGGUGAAUGGAACUCAUAGUGUAGGGGUGAAAUCCGUUGAUAUUAUGGGGAACACCAAAAGCGAAGGCAAUUCACUGGCGCAUUCCUGACGCUGAGACACGAAAGCGUGGGUAGCGAAUGGG
rnacentral:rRNA from 1 species